GGUACCCAAACCAGCUCAGUGCCGGUGAUUUCCAACCAGCAUCUUUUGAAGGCACACUGUGUGCAUCGCCAUCAAGCGCUGAGCAACAGCAAGCUGCGGAUGCUCGUCGGCGAGAGCUGGAGAUGCCUGCUUUCAUUCCUCUUGGACAAUGCUUAGGGGUGCAACUGCUGGCCAUAUGGGUUUGACUUAUUCUUUCCCUAAGUCAAUCUUGGCCAGUGAUAUUGGGGCAGAGCAGAGAUAGCAGCAGUAGGGUCGAUGGAGCACCAUGGACAUUCUCUGAAGGCUGCUAGCCAGGAGAUUCAAGAAGAAAUUGUUAAAAAGGAGAACUAUCCAAACAUUGUCCUCUCCCUUUGCAGCCUCAACAGGAAAGAAAACUCAUAGAUGAGUCAGAAAUGCUCAGUGGAUAAUGGACCUCUUCCCUCACUCCACGUGCUCGGGUUGCGGCAACUUCAGGGGGCCGGCCUAUGUGUGGGCGAAUGAGGAGGAGAUUCUGUAUCCACGCAGGUUACUUCAGAGCACUGGGCAGAUCUCCCUAUGCUAUACCGCAGGUCUUUGCUACUCCUCUAUUCCGUAUAUGGUGGAGUCUAACCAGGACCAGCAGGUAGAGACCUCGAGAAGCCAAGCACUAUGAAAAACUAGGUCCCCGUCACUAUGCUCAUGACAAAGCCACUUCGCAGGGGAAAGGAGGAUGUGGAUGAUGUUGGAUGUUCUUCUUCCCCAAUCAGAAAGGUUCACAGCAGCUAAAGAGGAGGACACUGGUGGGAAAGGCUGAUGCUACUCUUACACUUUAAUGAGCUAUGUACAUGCCCACUAAGCUAAGGCCUUUGAAGAUAAAGGGAACGUUGGAUGUUCUUGUGUUUUGCAACACCCGCGUAAUGCCCAGGACAUCCUAAGUGGACAGUGGAUGUAAGACGAACAACAGACAUAACACUGUUUAAUCCGAAAAAGAAGAUGGCAAUAAAAACAAGUCAUCAGAAGGAACAACCAUGUGUAUUAAGAAGAUAUGGGGAUCCCUUUGCCUCAUCUUAUGGAAGUACAUUUGAAAUCUUGACUACCAAGCAUAAUACUCUAGAAAAUAUCUAUAAUGCAACAAAAGAGACUAAGAAACUUAUCAAAAGCUAUCUGAAGGAAACAUCAACAUCACUUUAUUUCAGAAGUCAAGGCAGAGAAGCAUUAUGUUUGACGAUGUUGACAAGGUGCUUGAAAAAAGCCAGUAUCAUUCUUGAAAAACAAGUUUGAUAAAUAUGGAUGCAUUGAUAUUUAAUUAGCAACAUGGCAAUAGUGAAAUACAAAAAUGUUCCUAUUAAGAAAUAGAACAAGGAGUUCCUGUUGUGGUGCAGUGGAAACAAAUCCAACUAGGAACCAUGAAGUUGAGGAGGGUUCGAUCCCUGGUCUCGCUCAGUGGGUUAAGGAUCCUGCAUUGCCCUAAGCUAUGGUGUAGGUCAUGGAUUCAGCCCAGAUCUGGCAUGGCUGUGGCCGUGGCAUAGGCUGGUGGCUGUAGCUAUGAUUGGACCCCUAGCCUGGGAACCCCCAUAUGCUGAAGAUGUGGGCCUAAAAAGCAACAAAAAAAA
rnacentral:lncRNA from 1 species